CCUCUGACGUUAGCGGCGGACGGGUGAGUAACACGUGGGUAACCUACCUAUAAGACUGGGAUAACUCCGGGAAACCGGGGCUAAUACCGGAUAAUACAUGAAACCGCAUGGUUUCAUGAUGAAAGACGGUUUUGCUGUCACUUAUAGAUGGACCCGCGGCGUAUUAGCUAGUUGGUAAGGUAACGGCUUACCAAGGCAACGAUACGUAGCCGACCUGAGAGGGUGAUCGGCCACACUGGAACUGAGACACGGUCCAGACUCCUAACGGGAGGCAGCAGGG
rnacentral:rRNA from 1 species